rnacentral:pre_miRNA from 1 species
AACGGCGCUCCGUGGGGUGUACUUUUUUACACCUCAAGUUUGGUGUUUUUUUAAUUAAAAGAAAAAAAAUAAAAAAACACCAAACUUGAGGUGUAAAAAAGUACACCCCACGGAGCGCCGUU